rnacentral:tRNA from 1 species
GGGGUUGUGGCUCAGUGGAAAAGUUUCUGCUUGGGAUGCAGAAGAUCCCAGGUUCAAUCCUAGGCAUCUUAG